GCCACGCCCUCCCCUACAGAAGACCUGAUGAGCACAGCCCCUCACCAUGGACUGGAGCUGGAGAGCCUUCUUCCUGGUGGCAGUGGCUACAGGUGUCCACUCCCAGGUGCAGCUGGUCCAGUCUGGGGCUGAGGUGAAGAAGCCUGGGGCCUCAGUGAAGAUCUCCUGCAAGGCUUCUGGGUACACCUUCACCAGCAACCGGAUGCACUGGGUGCGGCAGGCCCCAGGUCAAGGCCUUGAGUGGAUGGGGAAUGUUUACCCUAGAGAUAGUGACACCAACUACGCGCAGAAGUUCCAGGGCAGACUCACCAUAACUGCAGACAAGUCCACAAGCACAGCCUACAUGGAGCUGAGCAGCCUGAGAGCCGAGGACACGGCCGUGUAUUACUGUGCGAGAGACACAGUGAGGGGAAUUCCCAUGGACCCUCCAUCUGCUGACAGGCCUGAUCAGGCUCAGAAGUGGUGGUUCGACCCAUCAUCUCGGGAUACAUAUGGAUCCCUGAAAGGGCUGUCAGUUCAGUGCUCCAGACACAGGAUCCCCCACAUUCAACCUUAG